AACUUUCUAGCCCGUGGUUUUUUUUCGGAGGAAAGGCUGAAAACUUAAGCUGUAAACUGACAAGUACUAGUAGCACGAAUAGCGCCCUCCCCCCUAUUAUUCCAAAGCAGCCGAAGGGGGAAAGGAAAAAGAAAAAUAAAAAAAGGGAAAAAAAUAAAGUGUUAUUUAUAAGCCACUGCCGUUUUCAUCCGAUACGGGUCCUCCGGUGCUGUCGCUCGUGAGUUUCCCGGAGGCUCUGCGAUCUCAGUCAGGUUAAUUAGAGGGGGCAGGAGGGGCUGGGAUUCGCGUACGUGCGGGCGGCCGCCCUGCCCUGCCCUCGCCGCGGCGGGCGGGGCGGGGGGCGCAUCCCUGCGUGCCCGCAUCCCGCCCCGCCUCCUGCCGGAGGUUACCAAAGGGUUAAGAAACUUGGCUGGAGAGAUGAAUGGCGCGGCGCGGGGAGGGGCCGGGCUGCGCCGCGGCGGGCGAGGUGGAAGGCGGAGAGGGAGGAUCGCGGCUGCGGGUUAGGCUUUGAAAGUCAGCCUCGCAGGCAUUGCAGCAGAGCCCCGAGCCGCGGAGAGCAGCGCAGCGGAGCUCGGCUCGCCCCAUCAAGCAUGAAAUUUUUGAGGAAGAAAAUUAAUGCAUCCUUGGACUCCUGAAGGAAGAGCUUUCCUAAUGGAACCACAUUCAAGGGAGGAGUGAAAACCAGAUUCACAAAGAUCCUGCAUUGACAUUUGAAAGGUAUGAGUUUCUGCCCUGAAUUUGAAAAGUUUAUUAACCUGUAUUUUUUUCUCACCCCAGACACAGAGUGGUAACUUUGUCUCAUUCACACUAGCUUUGGUCCUUAUCCCUCUUAGGAAUUCCCAGUCAGAAGAUGAUUCAUUGCACAUCCCUGUAUAGUCCUGAUCUCAUUCUCCUGACAUUGCUAACUGGGGUGCUGAGGUAACAAUCUGCUAAGUUUCCUGAGAGGCUGAAGACAUGCUUACCUUCCCACCAGCACUUCUGCCUUUUUCUCAACAAAAGGAUUUGAAAUUGUACGCUUUUAAGAGCAUUAAGUCCCUUUGAGAAAAUGUUUUGGGUUGUGGGUUUUUUAUGGGGUUUUUUUCCCCUCUGGUAUUCCUUUGUUGCCCUCUUUGGCUUGUACCUCCCUUUCCAAUAUGAUUUGCUUCAGCAUUUAUUUGGUGUUUGGGAGUUGUUUGUGAUUCAGUAAGAUUCUGCAGGUGCUCCAAGUCUUAACUGCUAUUGAAUGAAAUCACAUUUGAUUCAUUUGAGUUCUUUUGGACUCACACACUGAUGAAAUUGAGCAACAGAAUUUGAACAAAAC
rnacentral:lncRNA from 1 species